CCCAGGGACUCCCAUGAUUGGAAUAGAGAUCUAUAAUGUAUGCUACUAUAUAUAUCUAUACAAAUAUAAUUUUUUAAUAAUAAGAAAAUUUAAGUUUUAGCACUUAAUAUUUAAUGGCUGGUUCUGAAAAUACAUUAUUCUCUUUAUUGGCAGUUUGAUUUUUUUUAUACAUGUGCUGAAUAACUGCAGUAUAAAAUAGUAAGCGUGUCUGAACAAGAAAUCUAUGAAUGAAGAAAGAUAAAUAUAACCUCCAUAGUUUGUGACUAUCAUUGAAAUAAGGGCAUAAGAGAUUAUGGCAAUCAGUAUUAAAUACUGCCAUUGAUUAGUAACAUGAUCCUAGUGGGAAGUUUGGGCCAGGAAAUUUUCUAGAGAACAUGUUGUGCUGCUCAGGUGAUCACUGACUGCACUACUGAUUUCUCAGGUAAGUGUGCAGCACAUGCACACAACAUUUGGUAGGGGUAUGACCAUCAGGGGCCACAGGAUCAAAAUAAGUUAGAGUAACAGCCACCCUUCGUUAAGUGCCUGCUAUGUGCUCACAAAGUGUGAAAGAAUGCCUCAUAAUAAUUUCAAUAUACUAUCAAUUGGAGCCUUGGUAGUACAGUGGUUAAGAGCUCAGUUGCUAACCAAAAGGUCUGCAGUUUGAAAUCCUGUGGGGGCAGUUCUACUCGGUCCUGUAGAGUCGCUGUGAAUCAGAAUUGACUCAGCAGCAACAGAUUUGUCUUUUUUUUAAAUCAGUUACUUUCCCAACAUUUCUUACAGAUAAUAGAUGCUGAAAGGUCCUAGCAGACCAGAGAUUAGACCCCACAUCUCACUCUUUCUACUACACCAAGAGGCUUCAGAUAGAGAGAAUGUAACAUUAUGAAAUUAAAGUGGGCUCCCAAAACAGUAUGUUCAGCAAAUAUUUCUUGAAGACCUGCCUACUUCAUGUCAGGCCCUGAUCUUAGUGCAGGGGAUGUGAAGAUGAAUAAAACACAAUUUCUGCCCUUACAGACCUCACGUUCCUGACUCCCAAGCAAAUAACCACACUGAAAAGUGACUGAUCCUGUAAAAGAAGCAUGGACGUGCUUCUCUAUAAAUGCAGAAGAGAAAACGGUGGAUUAUUGGGGAGGGAGUUGUGGAAGCUUUCUGAGGUCAAGGCACAUUUGAGGUGAGACUCAUUCACCAGAUAGACAAGAUUGGUUGGAAGUAAGAAUGAGAGAAAAAGGAAGAAAAGAGCAUGGUGGUGUGCCCUGCAGGGUCAUUAGAUGAAAUGGUGAACAGCUUUAUGUGGCCCAUGAGAAUGGAGGAAGAAUCAGUGAAAAGAGAUGAAGGAAGAAUGUACGAUUUCCAUAAUAUGAAGAACCAUGGGCAACAUGUAGGGAAUUUGGAAGUUUUUCCUUGUCAAUGUGGUACUUUUAAAGAGCUUAAUAAGGGGAAAAAUGGCUCACUUUGAUUUAUAUUUUAGAAGGUACAGUUAUGAGGGCCUCAACUAAGGCAGUGGAGUGUAGAAUGAGGACAUGUCCACAGAUCUGAGAUAUAUUUAGGAAGUAAACUCUGCAUGGCUUGGUUAACAAUGAGAUGUGAGGAGUUAGUAGGUUAGGAAAAAUUCAAGAUAACACUUGAGUUUGUAGCUUCAAUGCCUGAGUGGUAUACAAUGUUGCUUUGCUUAUUUAUUGCUGCAUUAACAACCCACCCCAAAACUUAGUGGCUUAAUAUAGCAAUCACCAUCUUUGCUCAUGAUUCUGAGGGUUGGCUGGGGAUCAGCGGGGUGGUUCUUCUGGCAGUCUUGCUUGAGAUCUUUCAUGUGGUUACAGUCAGAUAGUAGAUGGGGCUGUAACGCUGAAUAUAGAUGCACUCAUGCAAGUGCUUAUUAAGCUUCUGCUUGCAUCAUGCUUUCUAAAGCCGCAUUGGCCAAGCCCAGAAACAGAUGUGGAAGAGGAACUCACAAGGGUGUAACUGCUAAGAAGCAUGGUUCAUUCAAAGUAAGAGUUUACCUCAAAGACUAUAAACUGAGAUAGGGAAUAGAAGGAGAGGAAUGGCUUUGGAAGGAAGAGAUCAUCACAUCAGCUUCUGGUAUGUUUGCAUAUCCCAUAUGCCUUUGGGAUAGUUAGAGGGACUUGUCUAUUAGGAGUCCCUGAGUGGCACGAAUGGUUAAACACAUAGCUACUAACAGAAAGGUUGGCAGUUCAAAUCCACCCAGAAGUGGCUUGAAAGAAAGUCCUCAUGAUCUGUCUCCAAAGAUCACAGCCAUUGAAAACUCUGUGGAGAACAGGUCUACUCUAAAAGGCUUGGGGUGGCUAUGAGUUGUAAUUGACUCAACAGCAACUGGUUUGGGCUUUUUUUUUGGGGGGGUGGUCUAUUAGGCAGUUAGAAAUUUGGGUCUGGAAUUGGAAUUAGAGGGCGGAGAUACAAGAUAACAGGACUUGAUAAUUAAAGCCACAGGAAUAGAGGAGAUGAUCCAGAGACAGUGAAUAGAGAAAGGAAGGAUGAAACUGAGGGACAGGAGACAUGCCUAUUAGGUAGGAGGGCAGAGAGAGAGAAGGCAAAUGAAGUACAGAAAGAACAUUGCUGUGUAAAGAAAGUCAAAGCAGGAGAGGUGAGCUUCACGAAAUAGGAAAAGGGAUGCUCAGUACUAUAAAGUGCUGUGGAAAGAUUGUGGUAAUACAGGCACAGAAGAGGCCAUAGAUCUUGCAGCAGAACGUAAGAGUAGAGAGAAAUGGAAAGUUGUUGAGAGAUUGCUAAGCGUCAGGUGCUCUACCAGACACUAUAUAGGAUCAAUCAUGAUACAUGUAAACAGCCCUGGUGGUGCAUUAAGCAUUUGGUUGCUAACCGAAAGGUUGGUGGUUCGAACUCACCAGGUACUCUGUGGGAGAAAGGUGUGACAGUCCUUUUCCGUAAAAAAGGACUUGGAAACCCUAUGGGGCAGUUCUACUUUGUUUUAUAGGAUUGCUAUAAGUUGGAAUUGACUCUACAGCAAUGGCUAUGAUACACGUAUGGUUUGUCUGGGUGUGGAGAAGAGAGAAGUUUAACUUGGUGGGUAAGCAGGGUAGCGAAGAACAUUAAUUCUAGACCAAAUUCCUUGUUGGGAAUAGGAGUUCUUACAAAAUCCUGCCAGUCUUGCCUCAGGACCCAGACUGGAGGCUACUUUGAUCCCAGGACAUCUGCCUAAAGUCAUCCUCAACAGUGAUUCACAGUCAUGUGUCAUAGCUCAGAAUCUAGUGACGGCAGGCAGAAGAGAGACAGAAAAUUGAGGUUUUUUGAAUCAGACCCCCAAGAGGCACAGAAACCAAAAUUUGACAAUGACAGAGAAGACAGUCCUUGGAUGGAUGGGUACUGAAAAAAGAAACUGAGUGGGCAGUCAUCAUUCCCUUCUGUGAGGAAAGGAAAAUUCCAGGAUCAUUUACAUAGAGAAAAACCCAGAGACAUCCUGGAAAAGGGCACAGCCAUGAUAGCUGGACAAGAAGGCACAGGAGAUGCUUGGAGAUAGUUUAUCCUUCUACAGUGGGGUGGAUACAAAUGGGGUCCCAGGGGUGCCGGAAAUAGAAACUCUUCUCAGAAUCAUCAGUGUUGAAUAAGUAUCAUUAUGUAUGCUGUUUUUGGAAUCAGAUCGACCAGGGCUCAAAUUCCCUGUUCUGCCACUCACCAAAAGGAGUAUCAGUUUGUUGCAGAUCAAACCAAACCAUCCUUUGAGAAUCAGAAAUACUGGACAAGGUAUAAAACCAUCUGUCAGAAGGCAUUGUGGAACUAUCAAGGGAUCAAGAGCUAUGAGAAGUCAAAAUCUCUGAGAGAAGGUGCAUUGGACACAGUUUUGGAACCUCUUCAGAUCCUUUAGGCCCUGUCUGUCUCCUAGAUUCUCAAACUCUUACCACAGGCACGAGGUCUCCACCAUAUUCAUUAACAGGCUCUGCACUGCCUCAGCUUCCCAACAGGCUUAGUUACAGUCCCAGCAUACACUCCAUUGUGCCUGAUGUAGGCUGAGCUGCUGCAGCUAUGGCACCAGGACCCACCAUACCCUUAAGUAUGAAAUAAAAUGUUGCAAGAUAUGGGAUCUGGUUUCCCUUGAGGGUCUAAAGAUUCCAGUUGACACAAUCUAGAAGUGCAUGAAAGUUAAUGCCUUGUGGGGCAAAUUUUGACCAAUGAAAGUUAAGUUAGGAGGGAGCCAUUGGAUAAUUUCCUCUCAUUUUCUCCCCCUGAUAGACUAUUCCAAGGCAAGGUGUACAGUGUGUCUGAACACUUCCUGUGUGACUGAGCAGUAAGCUGUGUCUGUUCUUGAAGUUGUGGUCAGCUGCAGUAAUGAACCUGCUUGUUUGUUUCUCCUCUUUUUCUGCCUCACUUUCCUUUUCCCUUACUUUUUCCGUUCUGAGGUUACACAUCCCAGUAAACAACCAGAACUUAAAAUUUGCCUCGGAUAUUCUUUUCUAGGAACUUAGGCCAAGACAGUAUGAAAGUAUAGAGACAUGAGACCAACUGGUACUGUUUUCUCCCUUGACAGAUUUGCCUAUUUGCAAGCAGAAGCCAAGCAGCUGAGAGGCUGAGCAGAGUUUCUAACAGUCUUAUAUGACUAGGAGGCAAAAACUGGAAUUCAGACCCACCAAAGAGGAGGAGACUGGGAAACAAUCCAGUUUUCAGUUGUAACUCUAAACAAAUAAUGAAGCCUGGCAUCAAAUCAACUAAAUCCAUGAUUGAAUUAAAAUAAACUUCCCCUUAUCUAACUGGCAAACAAAAAUGAAUCCUUAUUGGAAGAAGAUAAUAUUAUCUACAUUCUUAAAAUAUCUCUAAAAUUUAUCAUACACACUGUCCAAAAGGUAGUCAACCAAAAAUUACUAGGGAUCCCAGGAGAUUAGACCACAGGACUGAAGACCAAGAAUAAAAACAUAUUAUAGAAGCAUACUCAUAGAGAUUCAGAUACUGUAAUUAUUAUACUUGGACUUUAAAAUAACCAAUAGUCAUAUGUUGUGGAAAUCAGAUGACAAAAUAAAAAAUCUCAGCAGAAAUUUGGAAAAUAUAAAAACUCUUCAAAUGGAAAUUCUGGAAAUGAAAAAAUACAAUACAUAAAAUUAUAAACUUAAUAGACACAGAAGUAAAUGAAGAGAGCAUUAGUAAAUUGGAACAGAGAUUGGAAGAAAAUACCCAGUACAAAGCAUAGAAAGAAAAGAAAAUUGAAUAUACAAAAAGAAAGGAAGCAUGAGAGAUAUACAGUGAAAAUAUCUAAUAUGUAAAUGCAAAUAAAAGUCUUCAAAAAAUGAAGAGACUGUAUGAAGCAGAGAAAAAAUUUGAACAUAAAAAUGACAGAAUUUUAAAAACUAAUGAAAGACAUCAAGCCAUCAAUUCAGGAAGUGCUAUAAACUCUAUGCAAAUUAAAUACAAAGAAAAAAAUAUAUAGGUGUAUCAUAGUGAAAUUGCUAAAAUUUAAAGACAAAGAGAAAAUAUUAAGACCAGACAGGAAAAAGACAUAUGAAUUUAAAAGUAGCAGUUAAACUGACACUUGAAUUCUCAACAAAAAGAAAGGAAGCCAGAAACCUUAGAAUGAUAUCUAAUGUCAGAGCUAAAACAAAAUAACUGCACUAGAAUUUUUAUACCCAGUAAAAAUAUCUUUCUAAAGUACAAGUGAAAUAAAGAUGUCUUCAGAUGAACAGAAAUGGAAAGAAGUACCCAUCAGCAGACUCACACUAUACAAAUACUAAUAGGAGUUCUUUAGUUGUAAAGUAAAUGGUCCCUGAUAGGAAACACAAAGAAACAGGAAGAAAUAAAGAAUCACAGAAAAAGUAAAUAUGUGGGUAAAUUUAAAUGAAUAAGAAAUGUAUAAAUCAAUAAAAUCUGAAAAGAUUUAAAAUGUAUAUCAGUGUAAAAUCCAUGACAACAAUAGCACAAAAGGUAAAAGAAUAAAUAGUGUUAAAGUGUUCUGUGAUUCUUGCAUAGUUUGGGAAGUGUUGGAAGUAAUAAUUUAUGUUAGAUUUGAACAAAUCAAGGAUACAUGUAAUAAUCUAUAGAGUAACAACUAAAACAAUAAUAAAAAUGCAAGAUCAACAAGCAAAUAGAGGUAAAAAUAGAAUAACAAAAAGUCUAAUUAAUCUAAAAGAAUAAGAGAGAGACAAAUGGCAAAUCUGAACUCCUAAGUAUCAGUAAUUACAUUAAAUGUAAACAGACUGAAUAUUCCAAUUAAAAGGCAAUGAUUGUCAGAAUGGAUAAUAAAUAAUAUUAUAUGCUGCCCACAAGAGACACAACUUGAAUAUAAGAAUUUAGAUUAAUUUGAUUAAUUUACAAAGAUUAAAAGUAAAAAGAAUAUUCCAUAUAUGUUUAUAUGAAAACAUAUAAACCAUGCACACUUUAAACAAAGCAGAGCUGGUAUACUAAUGUCAGACAUUGUAUGUAAAAAUAUUUACUUAGAAAUAGAUUUCAAAUGAUAAAAAUUUUAGUCUGCUAGGGAGAUACAACAUUCUAAAUUCAAUUAAAUUAAAAAAAAUCUUCAAAAUAUUUAAAACAGAACUGAAAGGAUAAGUAGGUAUAGGCAUAUCCACAUUCAUGAUUGGAAAUUUUAAUAGAAAUUUCUCAAUAACUGAUGGAGCAAGCAGACAAAAUAUCAGUAUACAUACUGAUUUGAACAGUCCAAUUAACAAGAUUUACCUAAUUGACAAAAUAUGCUUUUCAGAUGCUCAUAGAACACUUAAAAAUUGACAUUAUGAUGGGCCACAAAUCAAGUUUCAACAAAUUUGAAAAUAUUGAAAUUAUACACAGUGCUUUCUCUGACCACAAUGUAAUUAAUCAAGAAACCAAUAAUCAAACAACAAUUAGGGUUGAAAAAAAGAAAAAAAAAGGAGACUCAACCAUUGCCUCACUCCAUAGAGAAAAAUUAACUCAGAAAGGAUUUUAGGCCUAAAUGUAAAGGCUAAAAAAAACUGUAAAUCUUCCAUAAGAAAAUAUAGGACAGUAGGCAAAGCCAACAUGGUGCUCUAGACAGAUGUACCAUGCCAUACUUCUGCAGCAAAAGACCUAAAAAACUAAGUAAAACAGGUACAAAGAUCAAUCCUGGAAUCCUUAGCAUCAAAUGAAGGGAUAAAGAACUAAGUCAAACAUGGAAUGGAAGAAGAAACU